rnacentral:misc_RNA from 1 species
AGUUAAACAGUACGUGAAAUUGUUGAAAGGGAAACGAUUGAAGCCAGUCGUACCUAUGGGUAAUCAGCCUUUUGGGUGUGAUUUUGUGGAGCGUGAGGAGUUAAACGCCUUCAUGCCUGCAUAUUCGUGCACUUUGGGUGUACUUGCCCGUGUGUAAGUUAACAUCAAUUUUGGUGGUCAUAAAAUGGCUGGAGGAAUGUAGCUUCGAUCUUGUAUUGAAGUGUUAUAGCCUUCGGUAGAUGUGACGAUCGGGAUUGAGGAUUGCAACGGAUACCCUUCGGGGCUACCUGUCUGAUCUCUGAUUGUUGCUCUGGUACUGAAAGCUUGCUUACGGUUAUCAAAGUCGAUGGUCAAUAGGUUAGAACGGGUUAAAUUCGUUAAGGAUGUUGACGUAAUGGCUUUAAA